GACGAACGCUGGCGGCGUGCCUAAUACAUGCAAGUCGAGCGGACCAAAGGGAGCUUGCUCCUGGAGGUUAGCGGCGAACGGGUGAGUAACACGUGGGCAACCUGCCUGUAAGACUGGGAUAACAUCGAGAAAUCGGUGCUAAUACCGGAUAAUAAAAAGAACUGCAUGGUUCUUUUUUGAAAGAUGGUUUCGGCUAUCACUUACAGAUGGGCCCGCGGCGCAUUAGCUAGUUGGUGAGGUAACGGCUCACCAAGGCGACGAUGCGUAGCCGACCUGAGAGGGUGAUCGGCCACACUGGGACUGAGACACGGCCCAGACUCCUACGGGAGGCAGCAGUAGGGAAUCUUCCGCAAUGGACGAAAGUCUGACGGAGCAACGCCGCGUGAGUGAUGAAGGUUUUCGGAUCGUAAAACUCUGUUGUUAGGGAAGAACAAGUGCCGUUCGAAAGGGCGGCACCUUGACGGUACCUAACGAGAAAGCCACGGCUAACUACGUGCCAGCAGCCG
rnacentral:rRNA from 1 species